rnacentral:rRNA from 1 species
GAUGAACGCUGGCGGCGUGCCUAAUACAUGCAAGUCGAGCGAACGGACGAGGAGCUUGCUCCUCUGAUGUUAGCGGCGGACGGGUGAGUAACACGUGGAUAACCUACCUAUAAGACUGGGAUAACUUCGGGAAACCGGAGCUAAUACCGGAUAAUAUUUUGAACCGCAUGGUUCAAUAGUGAAAGACGGUCUUGCUGUCACUUAUAGAUGGAUCCGCGCUGCAUUAGCUAGUUGGUAAGGUAACGGCUUACCAAGGCAACGAUGCAUAGCCGACCUGAGAGGGUGAUCGGCCACACUGGAACUGAGACACGGUCCAGACUCCUACGGGAGGCAGCAGUAGGGAAUCUUCCGCAAUGGGCGAAAGCCUGACGGAGCAACGCCGCGUGAGUGAUGAAGGUCUUCGGAUCGUAAAACUCUGUUAUUAGGGAAGAACAUAUGUGUAAGUAACUGUGCACAUCUUGACGGUACCUAAUCAGAAAGCCACGGCUAACUACGUG